ensembl:lncRNA
GCAUAUUUAUGUUAAAGUUUAACAUGAUUUAAGUCAAUAAUUGACCUAGAAAUGAGCAACGUUAGAGUAAUCCUUAAAUGAGUAUGUACUUUAACGAUGUCAGCUUGGCUAAUGGGUAGGGGUGUGAUGAAGCCGGUGCCCAGGCCACCGCGCAGCCCUGGCUUAGGCUUGCUCUUUUCCUGACGUGUUGUGUAUGGGGAAAUGCAGGGGGGGGAUUUAAGGAUUUAGGAAUGCAAAGACGUCACGCAGGAUGGUCAGGAAACGGUGCUGCUGUUUGCAGGUGGGUGGCCAUGUGAUGGGGCAGCAGGGAGUCUGCAGCUGCUAGCAGCCAGUCCCCUUCUGUCCCCAUUGCUGUCCAGCGCAGGGGAUCUCGGGCAGGGCCAUGUUCCCCAUGAGAUAUCACAAAAUAGGGUCGAAAAUCAUGACAUGUAGCCCAUCCGUCCAGGCACCUCCUCAUCCAUGCGUUAGGAGAAAUGCGCUCCUGCACAUGUUACCGCUGUGGGACACCAGCUCGGAGCAGGGCUGACUAACCAUGCCUUUUCACUAACAUCUGCCCUUCGCUCCUCGCCUGGCUGUGGUCUGUGCUGUGCAGAGCGGCUCCCAUGGAGCAGAGCAGAGUACAUGUGGCUGGUUCCGUGGGGCAGCCCCAGGCCUGCAGAAGAUUUUGGAGGGGCCAGGGCCAGCACAGAGGGCAUGGGCACCGUGGGAGGAGGAGGGCUUGUGGUGGAAAUAGUCACUGGCAUCUCCUCACCUGAAGGAAGCCUUUCCUGGGGAGCCUUCUGCUGCCAUAACGUAACUGGAGAAGUGUUGCCUUCCCAGACGUGCCCGUGUGUGGAAUGCUGGAAUCCCCUUGUUAGGAUCAAGAUCUCUGAGGAUGCUGAAGGUUACCCAAAGAAGAGAUCUGUCAGUGUGCUCAGCUCUGUGGCAAGGGAAGGAGGUAAUGCGCACUGCCACGAGGGAGAGGACAGCCCGGUGAGGAGCUGCCACAAAUACCACCUGCUCAACAGAGUGGACAGCGAUGCCUGUGCUUG